ACGCAAUUGUAGGGCAACCUGUGAUUGAGUGGCGGAAGGGUUAGUAAUACGUGAAUAACUUGCCUUCGACCUGGGAUAACGGCUGGAAACGGCCGCUAAUACCGAAUGAGGUGGCUAGGGGAAACUCUUGUUUAUCAAAGUAGGGGACCUCGAAAGAGGCCUUGCGGUGGAAGAGAGGUUCAUGGGAUAUCAGCUAGUUGGUGUGGUAAAGGCGCACCGAGG
rnacentral:rRNA from 1 species